rnacentral:tRNA from 1 species
CGCAGGGUGGUGAAACGGUAUCAUAUGAGGUUCCUGUCCUCAUGUCGGAGGUCCAACUCCUCCCCCUGCAA